rnacentral:tRNA from 1 species
UCCCUGAUAGCUCAGCUGGUAGAGCAAUCGACUGUUAAUCGAUUUGUCGUAAGUUCGAAUCUUACUCGGGGAGCCA